rnacentral:rRNA from 1 species
AACGAACGCUGGCGGCAGGCUUAACACAUGCAAGUCGAACGCGUGUAGCAAUACACGAGUGGCGCACGGGUGAGUAACGCGUGGAUAUCUGCCUUUUGGUUCGGAAUAACCCCGGGAAACUGGGGCUAAUACCGGAUGGUUCCUACGGGAUAAAGAUUUAUCGCCAAAAGAUGAGUCCGCGUCCGAUUAGCUAGUUGGUGAGGUAACGGCUCACCAAGGCGACGAUCGGUAGCUGGUCUGAGAGGACGAUCAGCCACACUGGGACUGAGACACGGCCCAGACUCCUACGGGAGGCAGCAGUGGGGAAUAUUGGACAAUGGGGGCAACCCUGAUCCAGCCAUGCCGCGUGAGUGAUGAAGGCCUUCGGGUUGUAAAGCUCUUUUGGCGGGGACGAUGAUGACGGUACCCGCAGAAUAAGCCCCGGCUAACUUCGUGCCAGCCGCCGCCGUAACAC